UGGGGAAUUUUGGACAAUGGGCGGAAGCCUGAUCCAGCAAUGCCGCGUGUGUGAAGAAGGCCUUCGGGUUGUAAAGCACUUUUGUCCGGAAAGAAAUCCUUGGCUCUAAUACAGUCGGGGGAUGACGGUACCGGAAGAAUAAGCACCGGCUAACUACGUGCCAGCAGCCGCGGUAAUACGUAGGGUGCAAGCGUUAAUCGGAAUUACUGGGCGUAAAGCGUGCGCAGGCGGUUUGCUAAGACCGAUGUGAAAUCCCCGGGCUCAACCUGGGAACUGCAUUGGUGACUGGCAGGCUAGAGUAUGGCAGAGGGGGGUAGAAUUCCACGUGUAGCAGUGAAAUGCGUAGAGAUGUGGAGGAAUACCGAUGGCGAAGGCAGCCCCCUGGGCCAAUACUGACGCUCAUGCACGAAAGCGUGGGGAGCAAACAGGAUUAGAUACCCUGGUAGUCCACGCCCUAAACGAUGUCAACUAGUUGUUGGGGAUUCAUUUCCUUAGUAACGUAGCUAACGCGUGAAGUUGACCGCCUGGGGAGUACGGUCGCAAGAUUAAAACUUAAAGGAAUUGACGGGGUCAUAGCUGUUUCCU
rnacentral:rRNA from 1 species